rnacentral:rRNA from 1 species
GAUGAACGCUGGCGGCGUGCUUAACACAUGCAAGUCGAACGGUGAAGCAGGAGCUUGCUCUUGUGGAUCAGUGGCGAACGGGUGAGUAACACGUGAGCAACCUGCCCCUGACUCUGGGAUAAGCGCUGGAAACGGCGUCUAAUACUGGAUAUGUGAUGUGACCGCAUGGUCUGCAUCUGGAAAGAAUUGCGGUUGGGGAUGGGCUCGCGGCCUAUCAGCUUGUUGGUGAGGUAAUGGCUCACCAAGGCGUCGACGGGUAGCCGGCCUGAGAGGGUGACCGGCCACACUGGGACUGAGACACGGCCCGGACUCCUACGGGAAGCAGCAGUGGGGAAUAUUGCACAAUGGGCGGAAGCCUGAUGCAGCAACGCCGCGUGAGGGAUGACGGCCUUCGGGUUGUAAACCUCUUUUAGCAGGGAAGAAGCGAAAGUGACGGUACCUGCAGAAAAAGCACCGGCUAACUACGUGCCAGCCGCCGCCGUAA